CAGAGUUCUCGCCCUCGCGGGUAGAUCUCCCACCCUGUGUUAUUAUUACCUUUGUUGCUUUGGCGGGCCGUCUAGCUUCGGCCAGGCUACCGGCUCCGGCUGGUAAGCGCCCGCCAGAGGACCCCAAACCCUGAAUGUUAGUGUCGUCUGAGUACUAUAUAAUAGUUA
rnacentral:misc_RNA from 1 species